rnacentral:lncRNA from 1 species
CUGGAGGGUAUGCUGGGCAUUGUCCAUCAGAAGGAGGCACCUUUGAGGCAGUUGGUUGUCAGAAAGAUAUUUCUUAAUGAUGAGUGCAAACACCUCAUGCAGCCAUUCUGUGAGCAAUUGCCUUGUGACCCAAGCUUUCACAUUGGCAUUCCACAUGACAGGCAGCCUGGUCUUGUGCACAUUCUGUUCCCUGAAUGUAUGAGGGGUCUGGAAAUGUUACACCAGGAGUGGCUUAAUCUUCAAAUCAGCACUUGUGUUCGCACAGAGCAAAAGGGUCAAUCUGUCCUUCAUGGGUUUGUGCAGUAGCCCGAACUUCCAGAAGAGCCCUGUUUCAUCAAGCUUGAGCCUUGUUGAAUGACGUAGCCUUCUGCUCUCAUGAAUUCUGAGAAUUUUUUCUUGUAGGCUUCUGCAGUGGCCUUGUCAGAACUGGAAGCCUCACCAUAUCUUAUCACACUGUGGAUACCACUUCUCUUGUGGAAUUUAUCAAACCACCCUCUACUGGCUCUAAAUUCAUCACUUGUUGCACUUGUAGAGGGGUUUUCUUGUGCACUUGUGUCCUCUGCUUGGUUAGCAACAUUACUCCUUUUGGCAUAUCAGCUCCUUUGAUGGCAUCUUUAUUCUUCAAAAUAGUCAAGAUUGUCGACUUUGCCAUCUUAUACUUCAAGGCCAGAUCAUUCAAACAAAUACCACACUUAUGCUUUUCUACAAUUUCCAUCUUCAAUUCAAUGGUUAUUUUCUUCAAAACUUUCCCCUUACCAGUUUUGCUCUGCACUUUCUUGUCACCUUCAUUACUUCUCUGUGCUUUUUUUUUUCCACCAUGCUUGCUCUUCAUUUUCUUUGAAGCAAUGGAUGGAAUAAUACUGUACAAUACUGUAUAUGCUAAAAAGCAAACAAAAAGGCUUCACACCAAGUAUGCACAGGUCUGUCUGUGAUUGAAAUCUCAACUGGAGGAAGCCAUGACUACAUAUCAGAGUGGGGAAGAUGGCCGCAGUCAUGUUCCUUGCUGACAGGCCCCCUGAGCCAGACCCCCACACAAGCGGAUCCACUACCUGCAUCCACAGAAGGACAGAGAUAACAGGAAGCCAGCAGCUGACCUGCUGCUUUUACCACCGCCCUGCUUACCAGCCAGCCACAUGCCCAUCACUUAUGAUGAAAAGGAAAAGUGUGGCAUGGGUUAAUCUGAAAAUGGAAUUAAUAACUCCAAAGUUUUGUAGCCUGUAAUAAAUGAUUAUUGUAAGCA